AAGCUUAUACUCGAUUUUUUUCAAAACUGCUUUAUAAAUUCUUACAAUUUAUUCUUUAGGUUGGUGGUGUGAAUUGUCUGGUUGAUUCCGUUAACGAACGAGACCUUUGCUAGUAAAUAGUCACGGGAAGAUGCUGCGUCAAGGCGUAUGCGGGCCAACAUUUGGAAGGAUCCGUUCCCCAUGUGUUGCCGAUCCGUUACGUUGCAGAGCUUCCUGGAAGUACUUCUUACUAGGACUAUCAGUGA
rnacentral:rRNA from 1 species